rnacentral:rRNA from 1 species
ACGCUCGACACCUACAGGAGGCAGCAGUGGGGAAUAUUGCACAAUGGGGGAAACCCUGAUGCAGCGACGCCGCGUGAAGGAAGAAGUAUUUCGGUAUGUAAACUUCUAUCAGCAGGGAAGAAACUGACGGUACCUGACUAAGAAGCACCGGCUAAAUACGUGCCAGCAGCCGCGGUAAUCUGAGCGGGCUGGCAAGGC